rnacentral:rRNA from 1 species
UACGUAGGGUGCGAGCGUUAAUCGGAAUUACUGGGCGUAAAGCGUGCGCAGGCGGUCUGUUAAGACCGAUGUGAAAUCCCCGGGCUUAACCUGGGAAUGGCAUUUGGGACUGCAAGGCUGGAGUGCGGCAGAGGAGACUGGAAUUCCUGGUGUAGCAGUGAAAUGCGUAGAUAUCAGGAGGAAUACCGAUGGCGAAGGCAGGUCUCUGGGCUGACACUGACGCUCAUGCACGAAAGCGUGGGGAGCAAACAGG